rnacentral:rRNA from 1 species
UCGGGAAUAUUGCACAAUGGAGGAAACUCUGAUGCAGUGACGCCGCGUGCAGGAAGAAGGUUUUCGGAUUGUAAACUGCUUUUAGACAGGGGAAGAAACAAGACAGUACCUGUAGAAUAAGCUCCGGCUAACUACGUGCCAGCAGCCGCGGUAAUACGUAGGGAGCAAGCGUUAUCCGGAUUUAUUGGGUGUAAAGGGUGCGUAGACGGGUAAGCAAGUUGGUUGUGAAAUCCCUCGGCUUAACUGAGGAACUGCAACUAAACUACUUAUCUUGAGUGCAGGAGAGGAAAGUGGAAUUCCUAGUGUAGCGGUGAAAUGCGUAGAUAUUAGGAGGAACACCAGUGGCGAAGGCGACUUUCUGGACUGUAACUGACGUUGAGGCACGAAAGUGUGGGGAGCAAACAGGAUUAGAUACC